rnacentral:rRNA from 1 species
UACGUAGGGUGCAAGCGUUAAUCGGAAUUACUGGGCGUAAAGCGUGCGCAGGCGGUUUUGUAAGUCUGUCGUGAAAUCCCCGGGCUCAACCUGGGAAUUGCGAUGGAGACUGCAAGGCUAGAAUCUGGCAGAGGGGGGUAGAAUUCCACGUGUAGCAGUGAAAUGCGUAGAGAUGUGGAGGAACACCGAUGGCGAAGGCAGCCCCCUGGGUCAAGAUUGACGCUCAUGCACGAAAGCGUGGGGAGCAAACGAGGA